GGAAAGGAAAAUUAGCUCCAGAUUCUGGUGAUUACAAUCACAAGUUAACUUUUAACAGCAAACAAGAAAGAAAAGAUAAGUUAGAAUGAAUAGAUAAUUUGCAUUCCUAGCAUUCGGCAAUUCUUCACAACAAUCCACUUAAAAACUUAUCCUUCUUCACUUCAUUGAUAUUACCACCAUCAUCAUCAUCUUAUUCUUCUAAGAAAGGGGGGAAAAAUCAAAGCAUACAGAUGAUGAAAACUUACACAGAAAUUGCAAAAAGAAAUGCAAACAUCAGACCCCAGGAAAGUAAAUGAUUCCCUUGGGCAAUGUGUAGAGAAAAUCAGCUUUCGAGAUGAUCAGUGGACAGUUUUGGAAAUUGCUUUAAGCAGAUAAAAGAUGGGCACUGAAGUUUGCCAUUGAGCUUUUUCGUUAAAUGGAGAUUUUCCCAGUUACAAGAAAAUGACAAUGAGAUUCUCUGGAUUACCUACUGAGUAUGCUGACGUUCUUUGUAAAAGUAGCAGCUGUGAAACCCCACAGAGACACAGUGAAAGAUUUGAUAUCAACACACACACAUAAUAUCACCAUCAUCAUCGUCAAAUUCGUCAUCAAUCUUUCUAGUGAAAUCAUCCAAAUUAAUAUUCAUUCAUUUCAUUGCAGUGGAAGAAGGAAGAGCAUGUGGAAGGAUUUUUGCAUGGCAUGAAUUUCAAUGAGACCAACUUUCCUUUGCCAUGCAAGUUGAAUGUCCUGAGAUCUAUCUCUGUUCUAUCUUUUCUUUAACUUUCAAUGCAUUGAAAAGUCCUGAGAUCUUUUUGCCACCUCUGUAUAACUCUAAAUCUUGAAGUUGAUUGGAUUGAUGAGCAGCUGAAGAAGUGUAUAAUAUUCCUGCUGCAUAUGGAUGUAUAUGGAAGCAGUAAUUGAGAGGAAUGAAGCCUGGUCCGAGGAGAACUAGCUAAAAGAUAAACAAAUCAUAUGUAUAGCAUCGCAUGACCUUGAACCAGACAACAUUCCCCUCAAAAAGAAAAGCUUCCUAGCAAGCAAUAGCUAUCUUCUUCCUCAGUAAACCACUCCAUUCUUUUUUCAUCUUCUUUUGUUGUGCGGAUCCAGAGGGUGAAAAAACCAAAUCCUUUUGACAAGAAUUUGUGGGUUUGUGCUAAAAAUCAUAGACAAUGAACAUGAUGAUGAAGAUAAUCAUUUGUUUUUACCUAAAAGAAAAGGAAAAGUUGGCUUUGGGAGGGAGAGAGAAAGAGCAUGGGGUCCGGGGGGUCGUGGUCAUUUCUUGAAGCUAGCAUUUGUGUCUGCUUUCUUUUGACUCUG
rnacentral:misc_RNA from 1 species